CAAUAUUUAUCAACUUCAUCGUUUUUAAACUGCCUGUUGCCCUGCCCUGUGAGCUGGGAUAUCUUUUCGCAAGUACCAUCUAUAAAAAUAUGGAAUCUCGAUCGACCACCAGACAAAUUGGCGACAGUUAACACAACAGCAACAAACCUUGUUUUACCUGUUGUAAAUUUAUGAUGUUUGAAAGUAGAUAAUGUUUGUCAUAACAAGUAAUAUAAACUAACGAGCGA